CCGAACGGUAACAGGAUGUGCUUGCACAUCGCUGACGAGUGGCGGACGGGUGAGUAAUGCUUGGGAACUUGCCUUUGCGAGGGGGAUAACAGUUGGAAACGACUGCUAAUACCGCAUAAUGUUUUCGAACCAAACGGGGCUUCGGCUCCGGCGCAAAGAGAGGCCCAAGUGAGAUUAGCUAGUUGGUAAGGUAACGGCUUACCAAGGCGACGAUCUCUAGCUGUUCUGAGAGGAAGAUCAGCCACACUGGGACUGAGACACGGCCCAGACUCCUACGGGAGGCAGCAGUGGGGAAUAUUGCACAAUGGGGGAAACCCUGAUGCAGCCAUGCCGCGUGUGUGAAGAAGGCCUUCGGGUCGUAAAGCACUUUCAGUUGUGAGGAAAAGUUAGUAGUUAAUACCUGCUAGCCGUGACGUUAACAACAGAAGAAGCACCGGCUAACUCCGUGCCAGCAGCCGCGGUAAUACGGAGGGUGCGAGCGUUAAUCGGAAUUACUGGGCGUAAAGCGCACGCAGGCGGUUUGUUAAGCUAGAUGUGAAAGCCCCGGGCUCAACCUGGGAUGGUCAUUUAGAACUGGCAGACUAGAGUCUUGGAGAGGGGAGUGGAAUUCCAGGUGUAGCGGUGAAAUGCGUAGAUAUCUGGAGGAACAUCAGUGGCGAAGGCGACUCCCCUGGCCAAAGACUGACCCUCAUGUGCGAAAGUGUGGGGUAGCCGAACAGGAUUA
rnacentral:rRNA from 1 species